rnacentral:rRNA from 1 species
GAUGAACGCUGGCGGCGUGCUUAACACAUGCAAGUCGAACGGAAAGGCCCUGCUUUUGUGGGGUGCUCGAGUGGCGAACGGGUGAGUAACACGUGAGUAACCUGCCCUUGACUUUGGGACAACUUCAGGAAACUGGGGCUAAUACCGGAUAGGAGCUCCUGCUGCAUGGUGGGGGUUGGAAAGUUUCGGCGGUUGGGGAUGGACUCGCGGCUUAUCAGCUUGUUGGUGGGGUAGUGGCUUACCAAGGCUUUGACGGGUAGCCGGCCUGAGAGGGUGACCGGCCACAUUGGGACUGAGAUACGGCCCAGACUCCUACGGGAGGCAGCAGUGGGGAAUAUUGCACAAUGGGCGGAAGCCUGAUGCAGCAACGCCGCGUGCGGGAUGACGGCCUUCGGGUUGUAAACCGCUUUCGCCUGUGACGAAGCGUGAGUGACGGUAAUGGGUAAAGAAGCACCGGCUAACUACGU